rnacentral:misc_RNA from 1 species
GAGCAUUUGUUUAUUGACUCUUUGUGUAAAAAUGACCAAACAUUAAUUCCCAAACAAGUAAGAGUUACAGGCUAAACAAAUUAUUUGGUGCAAAUGCACAAGAGGCUUAUUGUAUUUACAGUUGGAUAAAGCCAAUCUCUAUAGGCGACGAAAGGCCUGGGCAUUAUCCGGGUAAAAAUAAUAGGAUAGAGAAUAUAAACAGAUGGAAAGUGAAAUGCUCACCAAUGAAAGUGACAGAGGCCACCCCCUCGAGAACCCAGGAUGAGAACCAUCUGAUCUGACAAACCCUUUUGAAAUGGAGGUUGAAACAAAUUCCAAAGCACUUCCAAAACCCAACGAAAGUGGAGCAAUAAUGAAACUUAUAGCCCAAUGCACCGCAUUCAACCUCUCGCAACCGGCUAGACUUCCUGCAUACUCAACGAUGAGCACCUGCAGAAUUAUCACUGCCGCCAAAGCCGGCACAAACCAGCGGUGGUGAAGGAGAGCUUUUAAUGUUUCUUUCCUCAGAAUUCCCAUAGCUUUCAACAGAUUGAAUAUCUGGCAUAGCACAAAGCCAUUGAAAACCAGUGACUUCCAAACUUCUUCAUCCAUGCUCUGUAUAGCUUUCCCAACUAAAUGCAAGUUAAGCAAAAUAGAAGUUUGGGACAAGACUUGACUUGCUGUUACUAUCCAUAUGCCUUUGGUUAUCAGUGGCUUGGUUCUCUUAGCUGGUGGAUUAGCCAUCAGCUCAUGACUUCUCAACUCCAUUAACACCAUUAGACCUCCCAAUAGACAAAUGAUGGAACUCAACCAAAUCAACUGGAUUGCUGUUAUUGGAGAUUCCCAAAAAGAAAAUGCAGCAACAAGGUUUAUCAGUGACCCAGAAAUGCAAGUGGCCAGCUGGAGUUGAAUAAACUUUUGAAUGUUGUAGUAAGCACAUCUACCCAAUUUCAGAACCUCAGGUAUUGAACGAUCAUCUGAAAUAACAAUGUCGGAGCUCUCUCUGGCUAAUUUUGUGCAUUGACUACCCUUCGUGAUUCCUAUAUCAGCUUUUUUUAAAGUUGGAGCUUCACUACUUGUUAACCCUCCUAAGAAUGCAACCACAUGGCCCCCUUCUUGCAAACUGCGAACUACAAGCAGCAUGUCCUCGGAUAGACAACUUCCCAUUACAGUGGCCUCUUCUAUCUUCUUGAUUCUUUCAUGGUCUGUUAGGCCUCGAAUUUGUUCACCUUCAAGCUGCACAUCAUUUGAGCCAGAUGCUGGAAGGAUACGACGCUUGUGAGCCAUUUCUCUUACUGCUGAGAGCUUAUCCUUUGAUACCAAUUUGAUGCUCACUCCAUCUUUCUGAAGAACUUUUACUAUUUCCGACCAAGAGUAUUUGAGGCCCGCUAUUGCCAGCAAGCGCGACCCCACUUCACUAAAUUCUGAAGUCUCUAUUUGUUUACAAGCAAAUGCAACAACUAUAAGACCAUCAUUCUCCAUUUUUUCAAUUAUUCCCUCAAAAUGUGCUCUCAAAUUUUCUACAUCACGAAUUUUCCCCAUGUUAUCAUAGUAAUGAGAACAAAAGCUCAAUACAGCUGAUGCAUCUCCGUUCAAGUGCAAAUGCCGGAUUUCCUCAUUAUCUCCAAUUUUCUUUAUCACAUCCCUACUAAUCUUGUUGUCAGAUCUCAAUCUUACAUGUUCAAGAACAGAGGAGCAUUGGCCUAACGACUCCACAUUUAUAUCCCACCUGGACUUUGCCCAAGUAGCAAUCGAAUGACUUGUCGGGGUUACAAAAAUCUCAGGAACAAUGGAUACAGCAAUGCCUUGGCGAAGAGAUUCAAGAACAACUUGGCCAGUCUCAGACUGUACAUCAUUUUUCAUAUCUUCUUCGCCAAUGAAAAAUCUAUCAACCUCCAUCUGGUUACACAUUAGGCCACCUGUUGCGUCGAUGCAGAUGACAGUAGCAAGGCCCAUGGUGGCACAAGCCGAUAAAUUCUGAGGCUUAACCUGAUACAAUUCCACCUUCUCAUCCCAGAAUGAAAGGGAGACUGUAAUUACAAAAGGCAUUCCCUUUUGGAUUCCUAUUACUAUUGCUGUAAGAAAACCAGUCAGAAUGCGAACCCUUCCCCUAGGCCUAAUGAAAAUACUCUCAAAGAUCUUCAUUAGCACAUCUAAUGAGGAAUUUCCCUUCAGUUCAGGUAAAAUGUCAUCAUUUUUGUGUUGUCCACUGCAUAACAGUCUGACUAAAAUUACAAAAGCAAUUAUUAUAGAGACAAAAAGAGUAAGAUUUUCUAUAUAUGAGAUGGGUUUCUCAAUUUGAUCUUUUAAAAAUGUCUUCUCUUUGGGAGCCCAGAACUCUGAACACAUCAUCUGACCUGACGUUGUAUUAGCACCCACCGUUAUCACCAGCAUCCUCCCAUGCCCUUCGAUUACCCUCCAUCCAGAAAAGAGAAAAGGGUUUGUUUCACGAUCAACUUUGGAAUUCAUCACCUCAUCCACAACCAAGGUCUCACCAUCGACAAACAAACCAUCAGCUAGAACUGUAUCUCCCUCCUUCAAAGGCACUAAAUCACCCAUCGCAAGAGCAGAUACUGUGAUGAACUUGCUUUCCCCAUUUGUUCCAUUUACAAUCUUCUUUUUCCAUAGCUUCUGUAGCUUUCUUUCACGGAGAAAGUUACCACCUGAGGUGAAAGUGACAAGUAGGAACACAGCAAUGAGUAUUGCAACCCCGUCGUGCCACCCAUAUUGAGGUCCUUGCUCCGUUAUCUCAAUAACAAAUGACAACACAGCAGAAAUCAAGAGCAUAAAAAUAGUGUGGCUGUAGCAAGCUUUCAGGAAAUUGUAGAUGAAGGUCUUUCCCCGAACUGGGUUAGUUUCGUGUAAU